AAAUGGACUCUCAGCACG
rnacentral:rRNA from 1 species